CCUACGGGAGGCAGCAGUAGGGAAUAUUGGUCAAUGGGCGAGAGCCUGAACCAGCCAUGCCGCGUGCAGGAAGAAGGCCCUCUGGGUUGUAAACUGCUUUUGACAGGGGCCAAAAUACUCAUGCGUGAGGAAUUGAGAGUACCUGUAGAAUAAGCACCGGCUAACUCCGUGCCAGCAGCCGCGGUAAUACGGAGGGUGCAAGCGUUGUCCGGAUUUAUUGGGUUUAAAGGGUGCGUAGGUGGCCUUAUAAGUCAGUGGUGAAAGCCUGCAGCUUAACUGUAGGACUGCCAUUGAUACUGUAGGGCUUGAGUACUGAUGAGGUAGGCGGAAUUGAUAGUGUAGCGGUGAAAUGCAUAGAUAUUAUCAAGAACACCGAUUGCGAAGGCAGCUUACUAAGGAGUUACUGACACUGAGGCACGAAAGCGUGGGGAUCAAACAGGAUUAGAUACCCUGGUAGUCCACGCCAUAAACGAUGAUUACUCGAUGUAUGCGAUAGAUAGUAUGNGUCCAAGCGAAAGCGUUAAGUAAUCCACCUGGGGAGUAGACCGCAAGGUUGAAACGUUAAAUGAAUUGAGGCUUGAGACGNGCGAGGACGACACGAGGGAGGAGG
rnacentral:rRNA from 1 species